AUCUUUUACCACCUUAGAUUGACCUUCAAUCUUUCAUUAGCUUGAAAAGAUUGACAGUGGAUUGGGCCAUAACUGUGACACAUUUAAUUUUGCACUUUAUUUAUGCUUGUAUGCGAUAUGAUAUGAUAAAUAAUGUGCAUGCUUAAUAAGAUUAAAAUUGGUGAGAUCUAAAUUAAUAAAAUCCCUCAUUAAAUUAUUAAGUCUAAAUCAGAUGCCUUCCAAUGAAUAACACUCAUCAAGACCUUGAUCAAUAGAUGUAGGUUUGCC
rnacentral:lncRNA from 1 species